AUUUACCUAAUCUUCAAUCAGUUGCAAAGCUGCUUGUGUUAACUAGCCACUUAAAUCUCCAAAGAGCUAUUACAGCUGCUUGUUAACUAAAUCAAAUGGCUAACAUGAAAUUUCUUUUCUGCCUUAUCCUACUAGUUCUUUCAUCAGAAACUGCACAUGCUCGGCCUUUGAAGCAAAUUAGUAUUGCUAGAAUAGCAUUGGAGGCACAAUUUGCAGCUGUGAAGAUAAGUGGAAACAACAAUGACUGGCCUGACAGAGUGGCUCCAGCAGGACCUGAUCCACAUCAUCAUUUUGACAAUCAUAAUUGAGUAGAAAACGAUUGUGCUGUCACUUUGUUCUUCAUCUUAGCCAAUCAUUCUAGACUUUUUUCUUUUUCUUUUUCUCGUUCUAAUCGGUUUUAUGGUUGUUACACUUGACAUUAACCAUUUGAACGGGACGUGGUUUUUAGAAUUAGGGGAAAAUAUGGAUAUAAGAAAGAGUAUAUGAACAGUAAUGUUGUUCAUUGUGCAAUCAAUCUUUGUAUCCACUAUCAAUCACGUAAUUAUGGAAUUUGAGAUUUGAUUCUCAAAUCCUCCUCUUUCUAUCUUCUGUUUGUAAGGUUUAAGAGUCUUGGAUAAAAUAAAUAAGGGUAUACAUGCAUUCUAAAG
rnacentral:lncRNA from 1 species